AAAAUGAGUUCUUGACUUGCUGUUUUGCAAAUACAACCUUCAAUUUCUCCACUUCCUUCUUGAGUACCUGGUGUCUGCCUGUAGCAAGGAUGGAAUACUUCCAACCAAUCUCGCUAAAAACGACAUCUCAGAAACAAAUGACAGAAAAAAGAGAGCAACGGAAUGGAAGGAGUAUUAGAGAAACAAAGGAGGAUCGGGAAGGAGACGGGGGCCGUUCCCGAUGCCUUGUAAUUCCAGGCUGCAGGCUUUGGGAGGAUAAAAGAAAAUCCUCCUUACCACCUUAUAUUCUUUGGUAGUCUCUUUACAUCAACAUGACAUUUGGUAUUAUGAUGCAUGUCAGGAUAGUCAAAAUAUUUGUUAUUGUGAGCUAGCAUCUAAUUCACACUGUUAAAUUUUAGCAAACAAGUUAUAUAUACACGAAAACAAUUUCUCAAAAAUUGCUUGUUUGCAAGUUCCAAGCAAACCGAAUUCAAUGAGAAGAAAGAGGCAAACAAAGUUACCUUCUGAAGU